AGCAGGGGCUGCCCCGUGCAUGGAGCUGGGUGUCUGCUGUUCUCUCUGUGAGCCUGGGGCUGACGUCAGGCGAGGUCUGACUCGAGAGCAUUGCAGCUCAUGUUUAUGGUUUGUUCAUCAGGACCGAAGGACUUGGCACACAUCCCUGGCCAAGGCUACCAAUUUGGUGACCUUUCAUAAAAGCCCUGCAGGGAAGCAUCUGGAGAAGUUCGUGCUCCUGACAGUCACCCCAAACAGCACGUCUCAAAAUGCACAGAACACACGGGCUGCAGACCUCAGUGCUGCUCCUGGCCCAGCUCUUCAGGGGACUGGGUGCGAGGCCGCCUCGGGCUGCCUCUGCUUGCCCUAUGCCCCAGAGCCCACUUGGUGCCCACUUACUCCCAGAGUCCUGCUUCUGUGACAGGAAGAGCCUCAGUUGGGAGGGCAUUCAUCAUCAUGGAGAGCAGCCCCAUGUCUUUCACAGUGGGAUAGGUGGAUGAGCUCGGCUUCCCACUGGGAGUGGUGUGGCUACAGCUGUGCUGAUGCGGAGAAGAGAGCGAAUGGCUCACGUGCAGCCCCUGAUCCCGGCUGAGGGCAGAGCCAGUGGCGGGUCUCAGCCUCCGGGUCAGGGCUGGCGGGGAUCCCGAGACCGCGGUGGUGGGAACAUCCACCCAGCACAGGGCGGUGCAAGUUACUUUUAGUGUUCGGGCUCUGGGCUGGAGCUCUGGUGGGUUUGUGGAUGGGCGUUAAAUCCUUAAACGCUGAAGGAAGAUAACCUAAGGAGCCGCUCAUGGACCGAUGACGACGGGUGUCAUGGAAUAGAGACAUGAUCAGUCCGAUUCUAGGAACAGCUGGUCGCAGACAGCACUAGUAAACCCAACAACAGCAAUAACCCGAUGGGCUGGAAUCGGAGCGUGCUGAUCCUCUAGGCCAGCACUCUUGACUAAUGUCUCCACUAGACCUAAAACCGAGGUCACCCCCGCCAACCUCCAGCCUGAGUUCGUUGUGAUCCCCGUCCACACCCCCUGUCGGCUCUGCUGCUCUGGGAAGGUUCCCCCGGCCUCCCACCCCCACCCUGGCGCCGCUCAAGAUCUGCCUCACAUGCAGCUCUGGGCUGAGUUCUGUAGUGUCAUUUCACCCGGAACUGUCGGUCUGCGUGGAGCCCGUGGAGGUGUGGCUGCUCGAGCAGGAGUCUUCCCCCCCGAGGAUGCCUCGCAGGGUGGACACUCGUCAGGGAGGACUUUCCAAGGUGGUGCCUGUUGACAGGAAGACAGUGGUCCCCACGGUGGCUCCAUGGCCGGGAAUAGGCAGGAGGCGAUGCUGAUGCUGGGGAAGAGGCUGCUUUCUUUCGAUGGCUUCUCUCAGUGGUACUGGAAGAGAAGUUUCUUUUGCUGUAUUUGUUUCUUCUAUCACACGUCAUUCCUGCUGACUGCUCUUCAAUAUCAAAUACCAAUUUGGAAGACUUCCUGGACAAGACAGAAGCUGUCAACCCCAUUCCAGCAUGAGUGAGCCCAGCGCAUGCGUCCCUUUCUCUGCACGUCACUUCUGACACUCACGUCCUUGCCAGCCUUUCCCAGGAAGACUUUGCCGAGGCAAUGCCAGCCUUUGAGGAGGGAAGUGGUUCUUGGCAGCUCCAAGGCUGAGGCAUGAAGGAUCACACGUCGCCUGAAAGACUCCUCGGACCCACAGCCAGUUCCUCGCAGGAGCCUGGGUAUCAGCUUGCUGCAGACACAUCACCUGCCUCCUGACCACAAAAUGCGGUAUUUCUUCAUGAACUCUCUUCAGAUGCACUGACCUCAGGGUGCAAACCAGUGCUGGAGACAAUUCCUGAAGCUUAAUACAAUUCCAGAAGGAGGCCAUGGCCCCUUGGUCAGGAGAGCCCAGCACCUGCAGACAGGCUGGACACUACGUUCUCUGUAUUGGUGGAAAUUAUUUCACAGGUGACCUCUUUCAAGUAGCAAGUCUUUAAGGGUUUCUUGACCAACCUCCAGAGACCCCUUGAGGACCCUUGAAUCAAAUGACACAGACGUCCACAUGACACAGACAUCCGGUCUACCCCGGGCAGUGUAGCCUCUGGAAAACUCCCCGGAGGUGACACCAAUGUCAGGGAAGAUUUCAGUUUUGUUUUCUGUUCUGUUUUUUGUUUUUGGUUCUUUUGAUCAGUGCUAAUAUUCAA